GGGGUAGCGGCUCAGUGGCAGAGCGCUUGCCUAGCAUGCAUGAGGCACUGGGUUGGAUCCUCAGCACCACA
rnacentral:tRNA from 1 species